CCAAAGGCUCUUUUCAGAGCCACCGCAACAGCCCCAAGGGAGAGCUG
rfam:Anolis carolinensis chromosome 2, whole genome shotgun sequence.